GACGAAGGGGGCUAGCGUUGCUCGGAAUCACUGGGCGUAAAGCGCACGUAGGCGGCCGAUCAAGUCGGGGGUGAAAGCCUGUGGCUCAACCACAGAAUUGCCUUCGAUACUGUUUGGCUUGAGACCGGAAGAGGUUAGUGGAACUGCGAGUGUAGAGGUGAAAUUCGUAGAUAUUCGCAAGAACACCAGUGGCGAAGGCGGCUGACUGGUCCGGUUCUGACGCUGAGGCGCGAAAGCGUGGGGAGCAAACAGG
rnacentral:rRNA from 1 species